AUGAUGAGGUCACAGACAAGUAAAGAGAGCAGGAGUGGCCUUUUGUAAAACUUCUGUUUCAUCCUCCUCAGGUCGCCGUGCGUGCUCUCUUUCUUCUUCUUUUUGGUUUCAGCUCUACAUGAUGAAGAUUGCCUCUCCGUCUGAGGAGUCAGAGGGUCUGCCAUGUGGGUAAGGAGUGCGCAGAGGAGACUUUGAAAGCUACUUAAGAGUGAAGGAGACUCCAGAAAACGUGCCACAAUCCUCCAUUAUUGUAAUGAUUGUUUUGUGAGAUGAAAGGAAAGGAAACGUAGAGAGUGAGUAUGUAUUUAUGGCUGUUAUUUGUUGAGGGUAAUGUGGUAUUUGGCAGAGAGUGUGUCUGGAUUGUAAAAGUGAAGUGAUGCUGUGAGUAGGCCAGUACAACACAACUCAAUACAGCAGCUUUAAUGCAGAGAGUUGAAGAUGAAUAAUUCAGGCGGGGAUGUAUUUGUGAAUCAUGGGAAGAGGGUUUGGAUAAGUCUGUUGAAGAGGGGGGAAGGAUUGUGUUUUCUCCUCUCACCCUCCCUCUCUCAGUCUCUCUUUGUUUUUUUGUUUGUCCAUCUGCAUAUUUUUUUUUCACAGUGAAACUUUUCUAACAGUCUGAUCUGGACUGUGAAAUCAGGGCUGAGUGAUUGAUGUGUCUGAGGCGUUCGAUGCUGCCUGUGCAAUUAGACUAAGUCGAGUGAAUGCUUUACUAUGCUGAGUGGUUUUAGAGCAGGUUUGCUAACAACGCUGACGCAAACGUGCUGUUCAUCACCUAAAAUUGUACCCAGAGUUUCCUGAAUUGGAACUAAGAAAACUGACAGUAUGUGCACAAAAUAUAAAGUUGAAUUGCAUCGAAAUCCGGCUGUUGACAGUCUGGAUUAGAUCAGAUUAGAUUACAGACAUAUUUAAAAUUAAAAAAUAUUACUGCAAAAUUAUCUGCACCAUGUAUUUACACCUACAGAGCUCUUUUGAUUUUUUAAAAUAUUUUUUUAAAAGUAAAAAAGUCCAAAUAAAAAAAUAUAUACACACUUUCAGUCAAUCGGUUUUACUCUAUCUUCACAAACUUUGUUUUAGAGGAUCGGCAGCAAAUAAACAGGAUUAUUUCACUAUUUGAGAGCGUGGUAUUAUGUAAGAACUCCACAACACUGCAACAACAGAAAAAAUUAACCCUUUCAUUCCCAGAAAUAACACUAAAGUACAUCUUUUUUGAGGCCAGAUACCAAAAUAUGUAUUUUUUUUAAACACAUAAAUAAAUAAAAAUAGAUAAAGAUAAAAUAGUGUUCAAUAACAUUGUUGUAAAUUAAGGUUGUUAUGAUACGUGUGUAAAGAAUAGCAAUUGCAAGUUAUAUAUCAAUUAUACUAUAUCAUAAAUAUAAUAUGUUAAAGAAUAGUCUGUUACAUAACAUAUAAUAUCAGGUAAAAUUACGAAUAUAAACUAAAAUAUAGUGACCAGCAGUAUUUUCCUUUCCUACUUUCUUCUUUUUUUGAACAUGGACCUUUUUUGCAUUCGAAAAAUUGAACACAGAUUAACCCAAAAGUGUACCUGAAUUUUCUUCAACACACUCCUCGUGUGUCUACGACCUGUCUUGAACGCUGCAGCAGCUCCCGCUUUAACUCUUGAGUGGUUCUUUCUAGGACUGUCCAACCUGAGAAUGGUAAAUUCAGGCUCAAUCUCAGGUUCGUCAGCCCAUGAAACGCCGACUCACCUCAGCAGAUUAUGAGGAGAAUCACCUCAGAGGCUAAAAAACCAGCCUGGAAUUUCAUGGGAUGAGAUUUCAAGUCAAGCUGACAGGGUUGACAACUUGUACCUUCUUUCUUUUUUUUUAAUUCUGCAAUUCUUGAGCAUUGCACAUGACUUUAGGUCAAAGUAUUUGCUUCUGUUUAUCACUGUGUUUAUCAUAUUCAUAAAUUAUUGCACAUUAAGACUGUUUGACCUGAAUCAGUCACUGGAGUAGCAGGUGGUGAUCCUUAUUUUAAAGGACAGUGAACAAAGCAACUAAUUCCUGACUGUUUUAAUAUUCAGAAACAUUUCCCUCCAACACAACACCGUCUCUUCGCCAGUAGAGGGAGCAAUGCACACACCUACAGGGACUCAUGCCGUGUGUAGAAAUUACUCUGAUCAAUUUGACUCUCAAAGCUAAAUUUUCUGAAUAACCAGCUCUGUGAGUCUGCUUUAAUGUCCUCAAGAACAGCGUCUUCAUCCUGAAAGUGAUUAAUGAAGGAAAUGGGCUUGUUGGAGGUUACCUCACGAGCUGCGUUCAAACUGAAACCAGCGGCACCUGUCAGAGCUCAAAUGUGGGUUUUUGAAACACAAAGAGAGGCAAAGUGGUUUAAUGGAUAGUUUUACAUUCACCUGCACUAAAAACUGUCAUUCGGUCCAUGUUGGUAUAAAUAUGUCCAUCUGUGUUACAUCUGUAGAAAGGGUUUUGGUUAAUGAUUUUAAUGUUUCUAACAAAAGGAAGAGUUCAUGCCCAAAAGUGAUGGGUGCAUGUUUGCAAAAUCUGUUCAUAUACUGUCAUGUUGAUCAAUAAUCAUACGGAUAUUUAAACUAUGUGUACAGGUAAUGCAAAAGAGCAGUGGGAUGGUUUUACUUUCUACAAUCUGGAGGUAUUUUAGGGAUUAAUAGACAACUCUAAGAUCAGAUAAGAUAUUCUUUUAAUAAUCCCACAGGGGGAAAAUUCCAAAAUGACAGCAGCAUAGUUGUAUAGUUUAUAAACUAUAAUGUGGAAUAUGUUCUUAUGAUGCCUUUAUCUUUGGUUUCAUUGGGGGUUUCAAUCCUCUUAAGCAACUGAAAUCAUUUUCGAGAGAGUAAAAUCCUACAAAGUACAAAACUAGAAUCUGAGAUCUUAAAGCACUUCAUAAUUUCUGGCUUAAUGGCUGCUGUGUGCUUUAUUUUUAUAAAACGGAUGUUGGCAGUACAGGUUUUUUUUUUUAAAAAAGUGGGAUUUCAGAAUUUAAAUGAAAUCAAAGAAUUUAAAUUUGCAAAAAUAAAAAAUGAACAAGAUCAGAUCAUUUACAUAAUUCCAACAAAGGCUGCAGGAAAUGUGCCCCGCUCUUUGUCUCUGUGUUGUAUUUGCAGUGUCGUUAAUCUUGUUCUGAUGCAGCUCUUCAGUUUUUUUCUUUGUUCUCUGACAGAUUUUUUAACUUCUCUUUCACCUUGCCUUACGCGCCUGAAAGAAUCAUCACCUUUUACAACCGAUCCUCCGCUGAACUGAUUAUUUUCAUCAAAAAAUUCUGUGGAGACAUUUCUUAACAAGGAAAUUGGACAUAUCAGAGAUUCUCCAGUUUUUCUCUAUUUUAGUGCAUUUACUCUGAAAAAAAAAAAAAAAAAAGUUUGGAUUAAGUAGUGAGCUUUGUACGGGGACAUGUGCGAACAUUUUCAGGAGAUAAAUUGAAAGAAUUGACUUUUAUACUCAGACUUCUCGCUGAGAUAGAUAUGUAAGUCGAUCUAAAAUUCAAAGAUGUUAAAGUAUGUGACGAACCAGAUGGAAACAAUCAGACCUUUAAAAAGUUGUUCUAUAUCUUGUACGGUACCUUUCAGCUCUGUUUCCGAAAGAUAAUAAUUUAGGGUACAAACAGAUAUAGGUAAAAAAAAAAAAAGAAGCACUUUGUUAUCUCCUGUUAUUCAGCCUUUUUGUCCCACAGAGCCGCAGACACUGUCAGAUUACAAAUGAAGCCUGUCAAAAAUUUUACUGAGUGUAAAAAUUCAUGCUAUCUAUAAAAAACUAGAUUUAAACCAGAUAUCUGCAGAUGGUUCACUUUUUUUACAUCUUUUAUUGGCUGUGAUUAAGCGCUUUGGUUCACAUUUACAGUUUUCAUUUUUUAGACACUCCCUUCCACAAUGAGCUAUUUGUAUUAUUACUUUUAUUAUUUCCCUGGAAGAGACUACUGAGGCAGCAGGUGCGCCUUGUUACCGACAAUGCAGUGUUACAAUCGUAGUCUGCUUCACCAAAAUCCGACUGCGCCCUCAGUCGCUUUACUUUUAUCGUAUUAAGACAACCAUGUCAAAAUCAAACCUAAUCACAGGAGGCUUUGUUGCCCAUAAAAACUGAUUUCACAAACAUCCUGUCAGAGAAAAAUGGUCGCGCGGAAAAUGGACGAGAGGAGUGUGUGACCCCGGCGGCCUUUCUUUCAUGUGGGGUCAGAGGUCAGAUAGAAAUCCAGCUCUCUGUGGAGAGAUUAAAGCCUGUCGCCAAGGUAACAUUUUGUACAACCAGAAUGACAAGGGUCACACCGGGGACCGCCAACUCUUGUAUGGCACACUGACUUUUAUCUUAUAAAGAACCCCCCGUGGUGUUUUAAUCCUUUAUCCAGUUAAUAUAGAAACAGUGCAGAACCGAGCGUUGAUUUGCAUGUGUGUCGGCGCGUGUGUCUUUUCACGCCUGCUCUCCCCGUUUUAACCUUUUUUUGUUGGCCCACAGCGUUUUGUUUGUGAGUCAGCCGAGCAGAGUUGAAGGGUUUGAGCCGUGUCGCCCGGGGUCAGUUGGCUGCAAGUGAAUGAGAUGAAUGAACAUGUGUGUGUGUGGACUCGGGAGGAGGGGGGGGAGAAGAAAGAAGCAAGAUCACCGUGGCCAAGUGUGAGCUGAGGUGGCUGGCACACAGCGCAGUCGGAGGCUCAGAGAAAGUCCGGGUCAUGCUGUGUCACGAAAGCAGAGAGAGCGCUUUGGAUUCAUGUCUAUGUUUGAUGGCUUGAAUUUGAUACGGUCUGUUAAAUAUCUGCUGGUUUCAGCAUAAAAAAUACAAAAUAUGCCACUAUUUUGUUUUAUUUUAGCCUGUUGUUAAGGCUGCGUAACCUUUCCGUCCUUCUGUAUUUGCCAAACACGACGGUUGACUCCUACUAUGUGAACAAGUGACCAUGCAUCAUCUGUCUUUCUUUUCUGUGUGUGUGUGUGUGUUCGUGUGUGGGGUUAAAAGGUGUGGUGGGAGAGCUGUGAGCCGAGGUCAGUCAGUUCCAGCCCCGAGGAGAGCGCCGCCGCGGCCUUGGAACAGUGUGGGGGUGGUUCACUUCCCCUUUCCCUGCCUCACAGCUUCCUGUGAGUGCUUUAACCGUUAACCACACCCUCCUCCCCUGGCCUACAACCCCCCCACCCCCCACCCCCCUCAUAGCGCCGCCACCACUCCUACAGCCAACCUAGAAAACACCCUGCUUUUACACCAGAUCUCCCCUUUUUUUUUUCCUCCAAGGCCAAUCCACACACGCACACACGCUGAUAAUAGUCCUCUCCUCCUUGUGCUGUAGUCAGUAGUCACACCUCUCGGUUGGUCCCCGACAGUUAUCUCUGUGUUUCACUCUGUUGCUCCAUGUUUGACCCCUGCCAGCUAAUUACAAUGUUAACAUGACUGUAUGAAUGUUCGAGCUGUUUAGGCUCCGUGUUAGAUAAGUCAAGAUUUAAACAGGUUAAUCAUCUUUCAGUUUCAGUCACUUGGAUCUUUCUAUUACACUUGUUAUUCAGUUGAUCUUUGACUAUUAAAUUCACAUCUUUGAUUUCAUUUUUGUCCUCUUUUUUUUUUUGCUUUGUAUCAUCUGAAAAUCAUGUAUGUUGAGUGUUAAAAAGUUCUCCACAAAUAAACAAAAUAAAGUAACUUUUGAUCUAUGAGAACUUCCACCCAGAGCUGGUUUCUCAUCCCAUCAUUAACCAUAUGUAGCUCAUCGAAAAACACUGUAAAGAUUCUGGCUCUGCUCGGCAACAGCUGAGUCACCGCUGAGAGACGUCAGUGAGCAGAUUAUAAAGCAAUUCCCAUUCAUAAUAUUCACACUGCGGUAGUUUACCUCAGUCAUGACAUUCAGGGCCAGUAUCUGACGUGCUGUUAGUACACUGCAGUGCUAUAAGUGUUAAAAAUUAUGAAAAAAAAAGUAAAAUGGGGAACAAAACAGUUAUAAAUCAGAUUACUGUUUCCUGAUUGAGAAGCAUAAUGAAACUCUAGAGGGGCACGGACGAUAUUUUACCUACAUGGAAAUUACAGAAGCCCUAAGCGGACAUGAAUCUAUAAAUCAUAGUUGCAUAGCCUUCCUGUUAUAUACACUUAUCUUGACUGACCAUAAAAUUCAUUAUAUAGCUCCUACUAAUGUAUGUAGUCAGUUUGAAUGAAGGAGAUGAUUCCCAAAGGGUUCAGCUAAGGAGCUCAAUGUGUAGUUUCUGUGUAGUUGUGUAUCUCUUUUGUACCACCUGUUUUCACCAUGAGAAAAAAAGGUAAAAAUACACAUAAAAAACUGCAAAUCUGUGCAGAUAGGAAAUCCACUGUUUAUAAUCUGUGUAUAGAUUUGUAAUCUGAGGGAACAGAUUCGUAAUCUGUGUGCAUGGAUUUACAAUUUGGGUUUGUAAUCCAGGUGCGCAGUGUGGAAAAUCUAUUCACACAGAUUAGGACCCUGUCCUCAUGGAUUUGUCAUUCUUGUGUACAAAUUACCAAUCUGUUUUUAUGUUAUAGAUCCAUACGCACUUCAGACUGUCCACUGAGAUUUACACAUGGCUUGUCUUUUUUCUUGUUCUGGCACCUGGAGGCACUUGCAGUCCUGCCAGCUCUUAAAACUGGAAGAGUUUAGCCCA